GUACCAGGCCGUCCGCUGUGAUGCUGGUGAUGACCGCCCACUGGAAGGUGCCCAGGAUCAGCAUGGCCAGGACGAUGAUGAUGCCGAUCUCACCGGGCUUGUCCCCUGCAAGGCCACAAAAACAAGCUCAGUGUACGGCCUGCCUCACAGUCUACCCCAGCUGCACGGAGCCUAAACUCUUCCUAUUCCCAGCCAAUAUGGAGACCACAGUUUCUCACAAAGCAAAGCUAAAUAACCUCCCACCCCUACAGUCCUCAGUCUGCAGACUUUUCAUCAUUCUGUUACACAGAACCGGGGGGCACGGGUCCUUACUGUUGGUCCCCACGGCGAUGAAGGCGGUGGCGGUGAAGAAGAGGACGAAGAGGAUGUCGAUGCGGAAGAGGAACCAGCGGAGCGUGGACAGCAUCGCACAAUUACCUCAAUCACAAAGACCACAGCGAUGAAGAUGAGGGUAAAAACAAGGUUCCUGUUGGUGGACACGUAUCUGAAUUUAUUAGUUCUACCCUUAGAUGCGCCUCUACAAUGCCAGUUAAACCCCUCGACCUCUGGCUGCCUGUCGCUAAGCGGACACGCCCACCUCCAUGUCCUCCUCCUCCACCUCCUCGCUGAUGUCGUAGACGCUGUCGUUGGAGAGGCGGCGGGCGUAGACGUCC